rnacentral:rRNA from 1 species
GACGAACGCUGGCGGCGUGCUUAACACAUGCAAGUCGAACGGAAAGGCCCCUUUGGGGGUACUCGAGUGGCGAACGGGUGAGUAACACGUGAGUAACCUGCCCUUGACUUCGGGAUAACUUCAGGAAACUGGGGCUAAUACCGGAUAGGAAUCCUUGCUGCAUGGUGGGGGUUGGAAAGCUUCGGCGGUUUUGGAUGGACUCGCGGCUUAUCAGCUUGUUGGUGGGGUAGUGGCUUACCAAGGCUUUGACGGGUAGCCGGCCUGAGAGGGCGACCGGCCACAUUGGGACUGAGAGACGGCCCAGACUGCUACGGGAGGCAGCAGUGGGGAAUAUUGCACAAUGGGCGGAAGCCUGAUGCAGCAACGCCGCGUGCGGGAUGACGGCCUUCGGGUUGUAAACCGCUUUCAGCAGGGGCGAAGCUUGUGGUGACGGUACCUGCAGAAGAAGCACCGGCUAACUACGUG